rnacentral:lncRNA from 1 species
AAAGAGAGCAAAUCGGUAAUGGAACUACAAAUCCAAGAAUGGAAACAGGCAGUCGUCAGGGACCAAUUAGCAAUGGUGUUGCAAAAACUGCUGUCCCACCUACAGCCAGGACAUCGCAGAUGGUUAGUGCUGCUGUCCCACCUACAGCCAGGACACCGCAGACGGUUAGUGCAGCUGUUCCACCUACAGCCAGGACAUUGCAGAUGGUUACUGCAGCUGUUCCACCUACAGCCAGGGCAUCGCAGAUGGUUACUGCGGCAGUUUCAGCUCCUACUACUGUGUCUCCAAAACCUCCAUCCGUUCCCGGAAACGGGGGAAAUAAACCAAAAGCUUAAAGAACUGUAAAAAGAAUUCAGCACACAAG